GCUGCAAUUGUUAAGCAUACCUUUCUCGGCCUUUUGGCUAAGAUCAAGUGUAGUAUCUGUUCUUAUCAGUUUAAUAUCUGAUACGUGGGCCAUCGGCCCACAUGAUAUUAAAUUAAUUUUUCUAGGGGGAGGGCCCAUCACAGUAGCUUGCUGCUGGGGCCCUCGCGCGUCGCCUUGGCGUUGCCCUACUGCCUGGGCCUGGCGCACCCCUCCAACCCCAGUUAAAGAUUUGGCUUCGUGGCCCAGUCGAGUUCCAUUGGGCCGAUGGGAGCUCGGUGAGUAACGAGGAGGCACUAGGCUGGAAUCUGUUGGUCCGCUCAAGUUCGAGUGAUUUAAAAAAAUAAGGGAUGAAAUUCGAAUAGCCAUUCCAAAAUAGGUGAAGAUCCGUUGGGGAGGUUUUAGAUGAAGAUCCGCUGGGACGACGGGCUCUAUGCAAUUGACGUAGUCACGUAGAUAUUCCCCUGACAAAAAUCUCAAAGACCUACCGGAGCAUGGCUGUCGUGAUCUUUUAGAAAAUGGAUAUUCUUAAAGUUAUAAUAAGCAACUAGGAUCACAUAACAUAAACAUAUGCAUAUAGAAAACUAGAAGUUCUUUUUCAAUCUUUUUUAUUAUAAGGGAGAUACAUUGCCUGGUACAAUGAAUAAAAAUUAUAAUAUCUAAUAAAAAGUACGGAUAAUUUUAUUCGGUAUCGAA